UGGGGAAUUUUGGACAAUGGGCGAAAGCCUGAUCCAGCAAUGCCGCGUGUGUGAAGAAGGCCUUCGGGUUGUAAAGCACUUUUGUCCGGAAAGAAAUCCUUGGCUCUAAUACAGUCGGGGGAUGACGGUACCGGAAGAAUAAGCACCGGCUAACUACGUGCCAGCAGCCGCGGUAAUACGUAGGGUGCAAGCGUUAAUCGGAAUUACUGGGCGUAAAGCGUGCGCAGGCGGUUUGCUAAGACCGAUGUGAAAUCCCCGGGCUCAACCUGGGAACUGCAUUGGUGGCUGGCAGGCUAGAGUAUGGCAGAGGGGGGUAGAAUUCCACGUGUAGCAGUGAAAUGCGUAGAGAUGUGGAGGAAUACCGAUGGCGAAGGCAGCCCCCUGGGCCAAUACUGACGCUCAUGCACGAAAGCGUGGGGAGCAAACAGGAUUAGAUACCCUGGUAGUCCACGCCCUAAACGAUGUCAACUAGUUGUUGGGGAUUCAUUUUCCUUAGUAACGUAGCUAACGCGUGAAGUUGACCGCCUGGGGAGUACGGUCGCAAGAUUAAAACUCAAAGGAAUUGACGGGGUCAUAGCUGUUUCCUG
rnacentral:rRNA from 1 species